GCAUAUCAAUAAGCGGAGGAAAAGAAACCAACAGGGAUUGCCUUAGUAACGGCGAGUGAAGCGGGAACAGCUCAAAUUUGAAAUCUGGCCCUCGGGUCCGAGUUGUAAUUUGUAGAGGAUGCUUUUGGUGCGGUGCCUUCCGAGUUCCCUGGAACGGGACGCCUUAGAGGGUGAGAGCCCCGUACGGUUGGACGCCUAGCCUCUGUAAAGCUCCUUCGACGAGUCGAGUAGUUUGGGAAUGCUGCUCUAAAUGGGAGGUAUAUUUCUUCUAAAGCUAAAUACCGGCCAGAGACCGAUAGCGCACAAGUAGAGUGAUCGAAAGAUGAAAAGCACUUUGAAAAGAGGGUUAAAUAGCACGUGAAAUUGUUGAAAGGGAAGCGUUUAUCACCAGACUUUUUCUAGGGGGAUCAUCCGGGGUUCUCCCCGGUGACUUCCCCUAGUUGAGGCCAGCAUCGGUUUUCGGAGGGGGAUAAAAGCUUCGGGAAUGUGACUCCCUCGGGAGUGUUAUAGCCCGUUGCAUAAUACCCUUCUGGGGACCGAGGUUCGCGCAUCUGCAAGGAUGCUGG
rnacentral:rRNA from 1 species